rnacentral:lncRNA from 1 species
CUGGGUGUCCGAUCGGUGGUCUUUGGAUGGAGCGGCACUCCACCCUCCAGCUGUGUGCGCCUGCAAGCAGGACCAGCGAUUUUUAGUAUUCAGAAAGGGAAAAUUGCGCGGUGACAGCACAUAGCGGUAGAUCGCUAGCCGCUCAUUCCUCGUACAGAUUAGUGCAGCACUGUGCAACAUAAAAGGCUAACCAUAUUGCUUUGAGAAUAC